UACGGAGGGUGCGAGCGUUGUCCGGAAUCACUGGGCGUAAAGGGUGCGUAGGCGGAUAAUUAAGUCAGUGGUGAAAUCUUGCGGCUCAACCGUAAAAUUGCCAUUGAAACUGAUUAUCUUGAGUACAGUUGAGGUGGGCGGAAUGUAUCAUGUAGCGGUGAAAUGCUUAGAUAUGAUACAGAACACCUAUUGCGAAAGCAGCUCACUAAACUGCAACUGACGCUGAGGCACGAAAGCGUGGGGAUCAAACAGG
rnacentral:rRNA from 1 species